CCGCUCGCGCCAUGACUUGGGUUCGGACCGCGCCGCAGCCCCUCGGGAGCCGUGGGCCCUCGGAGCCUCUUUAGUGCCGGACUGCGGGCUGCAGGCAGCUCCGCUGCAGCAGGACACCAGAGCCGCUGGAUGGACUCUCCCUGGGAAGCUUUGCUGACUUGCAGCAGCUGGACUAUGUUCCUCGUUCACAACUGUCUGUCAGCAUAGUCGUCACGUCAUUUCACUGUGCUCUUGAGGCGAGUGGGCCUCUAGGCAAGAUGUCCCUUCCCAUAGGGAUAUGCCGCUGGGCAUUCAAUUAUGACGAUGCCCUUGAGGACCCUGCGCCCAUGACUCCUCCUCCCUCGGACAUGGGCAGCAUCCCCUGGAAGCCAGUGAUUCCAGAGCACAAGUACCAGCACCUCGCCAAGGUGGAGGAAGCAGAGCCCAGCGUGUCCUCUCCUGCCAUGACCCUGUCAUCGACCAUUGACAGAACGGACAAGGUCCCGGUGGUGAAGGCCAAAGCUGCCCAUGUCAUCAUGAGUUCUCUGAACACAAAACAGACCCAGGAAAGCAUUCAGCGUUUUGAGCAGCAGGCAAAACUGAGAGAUGCCGGCUACACACCGCACAAGGGCCUAACGGCCGAGGAGACCAAGUACCUUCAAGGGGCCGAAGCGCUCCACAAACUCAAGCUACAGAGCGGAGAGAUGGCGAAGGAAGAGAAGCAGCCUGCGUCCACCCAGUCCACCCCGAGCAGCAGCCCGCACUCCUCCCCCAAGAGGCCCAGAUGCUGGUUCACUUCUGGCUCUUCUGCAACCUUUCCUGGUCCCAACCCCAGCCCCAUGGACCCCGGAAGUGGGGAUAGGGACAGACCCGCAUCAGAUAAAUGCAGCCUGUUUGGACCAAGAUCCCUCCAGAAGUAUGAUUCAGGAACUUUUGCCACCCAGGCCCACCCAGGAGCCCCGAAGCCGUCUCCAAUGGAGCUGACCCGCGUCCAGGUCACCCGGAUGGCUGAGGAUCCAGUAACUUUCAGGACCCCCAAAAUGGACGUCCUGGUGAUGGAAGGGAAGAAGCCACCACCACGGGCCCAUAGUCUCAAACCCCGAGACUUGAAUAUGUUCACCCCCACCGGCUUCUAGAGCCCUGUCUAUUCCAGGAAUGCUGGAAAGGCGGUUUCGCGUACCCCAUACCCCUUCCGCCUUGGCUCGGACAUAGGAAAGGAACAUGUUUUUAAAAGUCUGUUAAACUGAGGCCAGAGCUGGAGACAUGGUUCGUUUUUGAGACGCAUUACUGCAAAGCUUGCUGUUGUAUGGAGGGAGCCAUUUUGUGCAGUUUUUCUGUUGACCCACUGGGCUCCGGCGAUCCUUCCACCUCUGCCUUCCAAGCAGCCGGAAUCACA